rnacentral:rRNA from 1 species
GAACGCUGGCGGCAUGCUUUACACAUGCAAGUCGAACGGCAGCGCGGGCUUCGGCCUGGCGGCGAGUGGCGAACGGGUGAGUAAUGCAUCGGAACGUGCCCAGUAGUGGGGGAUAGCCCGGCGAAAGCCGGAUUAAUACCGCAUACGACCUGAGGGUGAAAGCGGGGGACCGAAAGGCCUCGCGCUAUUGGAGCGGCCGAUGUCGGAUUAGCUAGUUGGUGGGGUAAAGGCUUACCAAGGCGACGAUCCGUAGCUGGUCUGAGAGGACGACCAGCCACACUGGGACUGAGACACGGCCCAGACUCCUACGGGAGGCAGCAGUGGGGAAUUUUGGACAAUGGGGGCAACCCUGAUCCAGCCAUGCCGCGUGCGGGAAGAAGGCCUUCGGGUUGUAAACCGCUUUUGUUCGGGAAGAAAUCCUCUGGGCUAAUACCCCGGGGGGAUGACGGUACCGGAAGAAUAAGCACCGGCUAACUACGUG